GAAACCAGGUGAACAUGAGAUCUCUCUGUUUUAUUUCUUACAACUCCAUCUCAGAAUAACAAGUUUAUGGCUGGCUUAGUCCUACACCAUCCUGGGAGGCAGGUGAGACCAGAAGUGGGACUGGUGUCCACACACAUAGCCCCAGGCCCACAGUGUGUCCGCGGCCCCUUUCUGGCAGGGCCUCAUUGCCCAGGGCUCUGACAUCCUUCAGGCACCCUCUGUCUGUCCCACAUCCGCAGCAGCUAUGUGCCUCUCUUUCCUCUCAGUCCCAAAAAGCAUCAGUUAUUGAACACAUUGUCUAUGCCAGAUGGCCAUGUGGCUGCAGAUGAGCAGCCACCAGUGUCUUGCUUGCUGCCCAGGAGCCUCUCCAGUGACUGGAUGGAGAAGACCCAGUCUGGGGGUCAGGUAGAUGGUCUGUGCCCAACACAACCCCGCCCCCCAAUUGCACCCUGCCAGGCUUGGCAGGAGGCCUGGCACUGGGGCUGGCAUCAACUGGGCCCAGAAGGUGGUCAUGGAGGCCUCGCUUACGCUUGUUUCCCAUAAUUCUGGCUGCUUCCAGUCCCUUUCCUCUCCAGACACUGACGCAGAGCCUACCAACACGCUGAGGCCCCCUUUCUCAGCUUCCUGCUCGGCCACCAUAUCUUCUCAUUACCUGUUUACCCAUCUCCCCUUUGGAAUUGCCUUGAGUUCCACGGGUGUGACAUCAACAGGCCUGGAAUGCCAUCCCCAGUCGCCACGCGAUCACCAAGACCACCACUGUCGUGCUUCUCCAUCCUUGCCCCCCCACCCCUUGUCACAGCUGUCUCCUCCCUGGGGUUCCAGGAGGCCCGGGCUGCUUCCUUCCCUUGAAAAUCCAUGUUGUCACAAUUGGGACUGUCGCUCUUUUUGAUGCUCAAAAUAACCUCGAAGACCAGUUGCAGCCAAACAGUCCCCCUGGGCACAGAUGGGGAGACUGAGCCAGGCCUGCUCCUGACCUCCUGACCUCGGGACAGCUGGGCCUGGGGACAGUGGCCCGGGACAGGGCACUGGAGGGUGCAAAGGCGUUCUGCCGGCAACUGCCUGGGAAGUCCUGGAGGGAGGACAGGGCUAGCACACCGGCAGUGCAUCUUGCCCCGGGGGCCAUGCACGGCUGCUCACGAGGCUAGAGCGUGGGGCAGCACACGCCCCAGAAGACAGCGGCACCUGGGGGUGGUUGCGAAGAGUCGUGGCUGCAAAAAUGAGUCUGUUUGCAGGCAUCAUGGCGUAUGGUGGUGGGUCUGUCUACCACCAACUGGGAGCCCCUCCCCUCCUGAGGGCUUGGUGCGGUUCUGGCCUGUGGCAGAGGAACCCCCGACGACCUGCAGCCAGAAAGAGGGGUGGGAAGGAGAUGAUGAAGGGGAGUGAACUGAGACCCUGAGUCCUUGCCCUCACCCAAGUAUGACCAGUCACCAGAGACCAGGAAACCAGAUGACGGAUGUCUGCUCUGAGGGCUCUGGUCGCCGCCUUCUCACCUGGGCAUGACAGCCAGUGCACCUGUGCCACCAACCCACUCUGCCCUCCCCGGCUGGUGCCCGGGCCCCAAGGCCAGCCUGCACCAGGCAGGGUG
rnacentral:lncRNA from 1 species